UUGAUAUCAAAAAUAUAUCGAGUCAUUCGAAAACCUGUAAAAUAAUUGUUGGCAUCUGCCAUCAUAAAAAAAUUCAUCCCACCGGUGCCUCAUCUCUCGUGGAUUUGUUGCAUAAUGGAGGAUGGAUAAAACUUUAAACCGGCGCAGCUUCGCGUCAAGUAUAGAUCGAAAUCACAUUAGCCUUAUCGGGUUUUUAGUGGCGUUGGGUGUGUCCCAUUCUGUAUGUAUCAACAUGACUCUCGGCAAUGGAUAUCUCGGCUCUUGCAUCGAUGAAGAGCGCAGCGAAAUGCGAUACGUGAUGCGAAUUGCAGAAUCCCGUGAACCAUCGAGUCUUUGAACGCAAGUUGCGCCCGAGGCCUAUCGGCCAAGGGCACGUUUGCCUGGGCGUCAAGCAUAGCAUCGCUCCUUGCGCUAGCUCCAUCCCAUCUUUGGUUGUUGGAAAGCGCUCGGAUGUGUAGAGUGGCUCCUCGUGCCCAUGGCGCGGCGGGCUGAAGAUUGUGGUGCUGUCUCGUUAGACUGGGAGCAACAAGGGGUGGAUGCAUGAAAUUCCUAUGUUGUUUGGUGCUGGUUUAAGAUGAGAUAUAUCCAUUUGAUCCAAACUCAUGCGUUGGUCCAAAGUCGAUGGCAUGAAAU
rnacentral:misc_RNA from 1 species